rnacentral:rRNA from 1 species
AUUGAACGCUGGCGGCAGGCCUAACACAUGCAAGUCGAGCGGAUGAGUGGAGCUUGCUCCAUGAUUCAGCGGCGGACGGGUGAGUAAUGCCUAGGAAUCUGCCUGGUAGUGGGGGACAACGUUUCGAAAGGAACGCUAAUACCGCAUACGUCCUACGGGAGAAAGUGGGGGAUCUUCGGACCUCACGCUAUCAGAUGAGCCUAGGUCGGAUUAGCUGGUUGGUGAGGUAAAGGCUCACCAAGGCGACGAUCCGUAACUGGUCUGAGAGGAUGAUCAGUCACACUGGAACUGAGACACGGUCCAGACUCCUACGGGAGGCAGCAGUGGGGAAUAUUGGACAAUGGGCGAAAGCCUGAUCCAGCCAUGCCGCGUGUGUGAAGAAGGUCUUCGGAUUGUAAAGCACUUUAAGUUGGGAGGAAGGGCAGUAAGUUAAUACCUUGCUGUUUUGACGUUACCAACAGAAUAAGCACCGGCUAACUUCGUG